rnacentral:misc_RNA from 1 species
AAAGUCGUAACAAGGUUUCCGUAGGUGAACCUGCGGAAGGAUCAUUGGGGUAGAGAUGAGGGGGAGAUGAGGGGAGAGUUGGAAUGAGAGAGAACAAUUUAUAUCAUAUAACAACCAAUAUUACAACUGCUGACAAUGGAUCUCUGGGCUCUU